ACUUCUACAGCUGCUUCAGGGAUGGCUGAUGCUUCAAACCUGUAGUGGAAGAGACUCUUCACAUCUGCAGCAGACAUUGAAGAGACAAACGUUACUUCAGAUAACUUCAGUGACAGAACAGGGCAGAAGAGUGAUGGGUUCAGGAAAGGGGUUCCCAUGAUACACAAUAUUAGCAUGGACAAUAUAGCUGCUGCCUUGGAGGGUCAGUGGUGGCUCUGUUGUGAAAGUCACCUUUUCCCACCCGUGGUCAGGAUAAUUCCUGCGCCCCCUCUGGCUUGGCUGUGCUCUCAUUUCCCAGGAUGGGACAGCUCUUCUUCAGUAACCUCAGACCUUGUUUCUGGCUACCGGUUCCUGAAAUUUCUUAAGCAUUUGUCAUGUUUGCACAUAAGACUGCAGAUGGGAAUCAUUUUUUGAGUUCUUAAAUUUUCUGAUGAUUCUUCUACUAAUUCAUUUGCCUUGGCGUAGUGAGCACAUACAUAGAUAGAAGGAUAAACUCCCUGAGUUAUCUGUUCUAGACUGUCUGAAUCCCCGGUGCACACACUGAUGUUUGCCAGAUUCUAGUUCAGCUUGAUGGCAGAGGUCCCACAGUGGGUACUGACAAUGGAAUGGGUGAGGCUGCUGCCUGGAGCGAUGCUCAGCCCUAUGAGGUGGCUGACAUCCAGCAUCUUUGUACCCAGGCUUGGCACUCGGGUGGUAGCCAGCACCACCCAGCCCAAUGUGCACAGCCAAGGGUGGGGAGCUCCUCCAGCAGCUGUGGGAGUGUGCUGUCAAGCACAAAGGCAGUAAUGGGAGGAGGAAGGGCUGCCAUGCAGAAACUUUGCCUUCUGAAUGAUAUCAGAGAACAAAGUUAAUUUCAUAUACUGCACAGAGCACAUGAAAUCAGUAGAGCUGUCAGGGCUCUGGUCACUUAAAAUGAUAUUUAUCCUGCAUUAUUUAGGAACAGUUUAUGCAGGCAACCAGGAGUGUUACAUCUAUGACAGUUAUAUAAGUCUUUCAACAAAUUACUGCAAUUAAAGGAAAACAACUGCCACUUAAUGUAGUAUUAAAACUGCAAAAUUAUUCCAAUACUUAUCAUAAUUAUGGCAACAUGAAGUCAUUUCUGUUUGUUUUUGUUUCUUUGUAAAUGAGAUUGAAGUAUUGUAUCCCAUGAAGAUGGCAUAUCUAACUGCGUGACUACCAGGUGCAUGGAUUCUGUUUGUGUGCUAAUCCCUUGCUGGCUCUGAGCUCUUUGGCAGCCAGGCAUUUCCUGGGGUGCAGGAAAUAACAGGCAGCUGUCCCCUCAGUUCCGAUGAAAAAUGAGAUACGGCAGAUAGUGUCUGUCCUCUUGGAGACAUGCUUCUUACAGAUCUCCCAGCUUACUCAAGUAACUGCUCCUAGCAUAUUGCUCAUGGAGAACCUGGAUGGACUUCAGGAUAUGCAAACUAUUUGCUGCAGAAGAGGCAUUGUGCAGUACUUUGCACUAUAAAAACUUUCAAGGACUAUUUAAAUGGAAAAAUGACAGCUAAAUUGUUGGAGAUGGGCUGUUUAUUCCCAUACUGCUGGUUUUUCUUUUUGUUUUCUUUUUUUCCCCCCCACUAAAUUUUAUCUGUGCAAUAAGAACAGUCCCUUCUGGAUUCUGACUUUCCAUCUCCAGCCCAGUCAUCUUGUCACCUUGGAAAUUGAAAAUGAAGGGCUUAUUUAAUCAUGUGUUGAGUUUUUUGGGUGUUGAUUGGCUUAGUGACUUGCUGGAUUCCACUUAUUUGUAAUGGAAGUUAAUGCCCAGAGUGGUACAGAGCCGUCUGUGCUGGGAAGUCAUUGUCUGUCAUUCUGGCUCAAGUUCUCCUCCUCUUGAAACUCCCAUGUGAAGUAGGAGGUUCCCAGAGUUAAUUAAAGCAGUUUAAACUUUGAAAUCUCUGGAUGGAUGUUAAGUGUUAUGAGAAGACAAUAUUUUAAAUGGCGAAGCACUCUGCAGCAGCUACCAUGUAAAGUUGGCCAUUUGAUGUUGCGUGGAAUCAAUCCUUUGAUUUAUGGAUAUUAAGUAGCUAAUCCUGAUUACAAAACUUCUUUACAGAUAAAUCCAUUCAUUUAGGAAAAAACAAUCUCUGUAUCUCCUCUUUCAUCCUCAGAUGCAGGUCUUGUAAGUGAAGGAAGAAUGAUUUAUUUGCAAAAUACAUGUUUUUACAUCGCAG
ensembl:lncRNA